rnacentral:rRNA from 1 species
UUGGAUUGAGAACAACGUACAACUCUUAUCGAUAAGCCAUUGGAGGGCAAGUCUGGUGCCAGCAGCCGCGGUAAUUCCAGCUCCAAUAGCGUAUAUUAACGUUGUUGCAGUUAAAAAGCUCGUAGUUGAAGUGAGGGAGUGUGUGGGUAUGAGAGCUAGUCUCAAGUACUUACAACCUCCCCCCUCCAAUCGGUGUAGUGGGGUAUUCAGUUAUUCUACUACUCCUUUGGUCGUUUACUGUGAGAAAAUUAGAGUGUUCAAAGCGGGCGUUUGUUUGAAUAGAUUAGCAUGGAAUAAUGAUUGAAGGCUUUCGUGUUCGAUUUGAUUGGUUUGUUCAUGGAAGCAAGGUUAAAAGGAACAGUUGGGGGUAUUCAUAUUCACUAGUUAGAGGUGAAAUUCUCGGAUUUAUGGAAGAUGAAG